rnacentral:rRNA from 1 species
UGGGGAAUAUUGCACAAUGGGGGAAACCCUGAUGCAGCGACGCCGCGUGAACGAAGAAGUAUUUCGGUAUGUAAAGUUCUAUCAGCAGGGAAGAUAAUGACGGUACCUGACUAAGAAGCACCGGCUAAAUACGUGCCAGCAGCCGCGGUAAUACGUAGGUGGCAAGCGUUGUCCGGAUUUACUGGGUGUAAAGGGCGUGCAGCCGGGCCGGCAAGUCAGAUGUGAAAUCCCCAGGCUCAACCUGGGAACUGCAUUUGAAACUGUUGGUCUUGAGUAUCGGAGAGGUAAUCGGAAUUCCUUGUGUAGCGGUGAAAUGCGUAGAUAUAAGGAAGAACACCAGUGGCGAAGGCGGAUUACUGGACGACAACUG